CUGCUGUCUCUCCUCUUCCAGCUGGAGUUGCACACACUAUCGGUUCUGUGUCACAGAGCACACACAUCUAUCCUUGUCAGUCCCGGGUUGAAAGUGCAGCUGAGCCCUCUCCUGUUUAAGCUUCAACCCGUCCAUGGUGCCCUGGGGGACUUCCGGUGGUCUGAGGUCUCCUUCCUCCUCACCCAGCACUCUGGGUGGCUGUGCUGGUCCUACACUCUGUGCAGAGCUCAUCCGGGACCCCACACUUUCUCAUGCAGUUCUGCCCCUUGACUGACUACUGGCUCCUCUUGUCCUGACAACCAAUUGUCCUUCCAGGCAUGACUGUAACAUUCCUUUCUCUGUCUGCCCGAGUGUCAGCCGCUCUCAUCUGGGAGUUUUUGGGCGCCCUACAUCUUCCUGCUGCCCACCUUUGCCCCCCUCUUCUUCCCAGGCUGUGGCUGCUGGGCACGAGUCUGGACCCCUGAGCGUCGCCAAGUCCCAGGAAGGUAUGGUUGGUGUCUACCUGGUUCCCAUUAGCCGGGCACCCACACAACUGCUGCCAUGGGAAUGUUGAGUUGGAGCAGUGCUUUCUCUUCCAGUGUGCAGCCUGCUCUCUCCUCACAGAAGCCUGCCAGCCACGAGUUGAGGGGCAGAGGCUGCCUCCUGGAUUUGAGGCCUCAGCACUGCAGGUACCUGAGUGAUCACCACAUCCACCUCCCUCAUGCUGGUGCCCUGCUCCUCGCCCUGAAAGUGGUUACCAGCUGCCUCCAGAAACCCCAGAACCUCCUGGCUAGCAAUGAACUCAGUAUUCACCUGGUCUCUUGGAGCCGUAAGUGCCCCACAGGUCAGUGCUUGUCUGUCAGGCCCUCCUGCUGGGGGCCACCAUCCACCCCCUCAUACCUGGGCCGAGCAGUCCCCAAGGUGAUGCUGCCCUGGCAUCCAGCACUCUGCCCGUGAGAGAGGGCUCCUUCACAUUCGUGUCAGUCCCUUGGUCCCUGCCUGGCUUUAGUCCUGGGCCUUGGACUCCUGCACGUGGGACAAGCCCAGGGGCAGCCAUGUAGCUCUGGGAGGUCAGCCAGACCUAUUUCCUCUCUGUUCCCAGGGCAGGUCCUGUUGUCCGCACCCCUCUCUAUACCACCCAAAUGGAGGGGCCAGCCUGAGAACUGGAUGUGUUUCUGAUUUCAUCUCAGUUCUGCUGCAGUUCUUUGAGAGGACACGGCACACAUGGGACCUGUGGACACGGGUGGCCACUCUGCUGCCGGUACUCAGGGUGCUGUAUGCCAAAGGGCUGGGGCACUGCCCAGGGGGACCUUCUGUGAGCCUCUGGCACUGCCCCACUCACAUUCACAUCACAGGCCUUUAUAUCACGUUUGACACAUGGGUGGGAGAUGCUGGUUUAUGCGUGUCCAUCAUUCCUGAGUUCUGGGGUCUAUGUGCUCUUCACUGUCCUCUGUCUGGGCAGGUUGGCCAAAACCCAAAUGCUGGACUGCCCAGCACUGGAAGAGGCUUCCAGACAGCAGGCUGCAGCGCACUGAAUGGAUCCACCUGUUUAGUUUGUGAGAUCAAGGAGUAGGAAGGUAAGACUGGAGUGUGCAUUGCCAUCCCAUACCCAUGGUGAGAGGACUUCCAUGAGUGGACUCUUGAGCUCUGGGUGGGAGCCCCGUCUGGCUACCCUUUGAGUACUUAUGUGCCCACCGUGGCAACUUGGCCAAGCACAGAGAGGGUGUGAGGAGUUAGGAGCAGAGAACACCCGUGAGGUGCCACCAGAAGUGAGAAGGUUUUCCAGUUCAUGAGUGGGGCAUGUAUCCCACCCACCCCACCCCCCUGCCCAUUUUCUGUGCGUUUCUAUUUUACUUAAUGGAGUUCAGUCAAUGGAGUUCUGUUCAGCCUUACCAUCUUUUCCUCACAUCACAUGUUCCCCCAGGUUCUGAAGGAGUGCUCGACAGACGUCUCACUA
rnacentral:lncRNA from 1 species